rnacentral:snRNA from 1 species
GUGCUCGCUUCAGCAGCACAUACACUAAAAUUGGAAUGAUACAGAGAAGAUUAGCAUGGCUGCUGCGCAAGUAUGACACGCAAAUUCAUGGAGCAUUCUGUAUUUUU